rnacentral:rRNA from 1 species
AUUGAACGCUGGCGGCAGGCCUAACACAUGCAAGUCGAACGAGUGGCGGACGGGUGAGUAAUGUCUGGGAAACUGCCUGAUGGAGGGGGAUAACUACUGGAAACGGUAGCUAAUACCGCAUACCAUCAGAUGUGCCCAGAUGGGAUUAGCUUGUUGGUGGGGUAACGGCUCACCAAGGCGACGAUCCCUAGCUGGUCUGAGAGGAUGACCAGCAACACUGGAACUUAGACACGGUCCAGACUCCUCCGGGAGGCAGCAGUGGGGAAUAUUGCACAAUGGGCGCAAGCCUGAUGCAGUAAUGCCGCGUGUAUGAAGAAGGCCGUCGGGGAGUAAAGUACUUUCAGCGCGGAGGCGUUACCCGCAGAAGAAGCACCGGCUAACUCCGCGCCAGCCGCCGCGGUAAUAC